ACAAGAUCACAUUAUUUAAACUUAUAUCCCAUCACAAGCUAGUCUAGGUUUUGUCCCCUUAUCCUCUUCCACUCUUUCCUCCUUCAUAUCCACGAAAUUUCCUCUUCAUUUUACCCUCAUUUGACCAGCUAAUACUCCAGGAAAUUACUCUCAACCUUCAUCUCAUUUUCAACCACAAGAACUUCCUUCCAAAGUCAUCAAAACCGUGAACUAAAGGGUUGAUGUCCCUUUUGUGUUUCAGCCACCAUUUCACCAAUCUACACCAUCCUUUUGCUUGAUAUUUUUACCACCAAAUACCCCUGGAAGUUAGUUGUUAUGCUACUCAAAAUUAUAGAUUCAAAACAGAGAGUAAACUACCCUUUUUCUUACUCUUUUGCUGUGAAGUUUUCGUGACAGCAACAUAGCCAAAACAGUGGCUGUUUUGGAGCAUCAAACCAACACCCAAAAGUUCUUCAUCUUCAACCUUCCAUUCUUCAAGUAUUCACAUAAGGAAAUCAGUAAAUCAGGUAACAACUGGCUUUGAGGAUGGGACGCUUAGGCGUCUAAACAAAUCUUUUGACAACAUAUUGUAAUUGAUGUUUUGAAACAUGUAAUACGUGCAAAUGAUGUAACUUUUUCAAUUAUAUAUAUGUUGGUUGUGUUUGCUUUGAACAUUUAUACUCAACAGUUAUGAUACACUACAUGAUAGUCACCUGCCUCUGGACGUUUCCGCCAUCCUGGUUUAGGGGUGUGACACCUAAUUAUUCCACUAAUUCAUUUCAUAUGUGGUUUAUUUUAAGUGAGCUUGAGAGUGGUAUCAGUUUGAAUUAAGAAGUUGGUAUUAAACGACCGUCUGUACUUGAUGGGAUUCUCAUUUUGCAUCUUUAUUAAUUAUUCAUACCAUAUAUGCUUCCAUUUGUGAUGUACUUGAAGACCUUGUUAAAUUUGUGAUGUACUUUAUUAAAAUCGUUUGAUUUUGUCUCUUGUA